rnacentral:rRNA from 1 species
AUGGCUUGCUCAACUAGAAGUUCUACAAUAAAUGGUACAAGCAUUGAUCCCUUCUUUCUGUACCUUUGGUUCUGGUUCACGGGAGCUUUAGCUCUUGAAGUUGGCUUGCUUUUACUGGUAAUGAAUUGUGAUGGAUGUCUGAUUGAGGAGAUGAAUCAUGCAUCCUGCUAUGAUAUGACAGAGCAGUACCGUGAGUACAUAGGGAAGCAGCUCAACAACCGGCAUACUACAAUUUCAAUUUCUACAAUGCAGAUGAAUGCUAUGCAUUUUCCGCUUUAUUUGGUCAUAUCUGAUUCUCUGUUGUUAAUCCUCUCCUACAUUGCCAAGCUCAGUUUGAUUAUAUGUGGAGGAAGUUGA